UGGGGAAUUUUCCGCAAUGGGCGCAAGCCUGACGGAGCAAUACCGCGUGAGGGAGGAAGGCUUUUGGGUUGUAAACCUCUUUUUUCAAGGAAGAAGCAAGUGACGGUACUUGAAGAAUCAGCAUCGGCUAACUCCGUGCCAGCAGCCGCGGUAAUACGGAGGGUGCGAACGUUAAUCGGAAUUACUGGGCGUAAAGCGCGCGUAGGCGGUUCGGCAAGUGGGAUGUGAAAGCCCCGGGCUUAACCUGGGAACUGCAUUCCAAACUGCCGGGCUAGAGUAUGGUAGAGGGAGGUAGAAUUUCCUGUGUAGCGGUGAAAUGCGUAGAUAUAGGAAGGAAUACCGGUGGCGAAUGCGGCAUCCUGGACCAAUACUGACGCUGAGGUGCGAAAGCGUGGGGAGCAAACAGGAUUAGAUACCCCCGUAGUCC
rnacentral:rRNA from 1 species